rnacentral:SRP_RNA from 1 species
GCUGAGCUUGAUGGCUUGUGCCUCUAGUCCCAGCUAAUCAGGAGGCUGAGGUAGGAGGAUCAGUGAAAUCCAGGAGUUCUGGGCUGCAGUGCACUAUGCCCAUCAGGUGCCCACACUAAGUUUGGCAUCAAUACGAUGACCUCCUGGGAGCAGGGGACCAUCUGGUUGCCUAAGGAGGGGGUGAAUCGGCCCAGGUUGAAAGCAGAGAAGGUCAAGAAUCUAAUGAAAACUGGACCAGGGAUAUAGGUCAGCAGCAUAAGCACUUGCCUGGCAAGGGCAAGGUCCUGAGUUUGAUUUCU